CGAAAGCCUGACGGAGCAACGCCGCGUGAGGGAGGAAGGCCCUUGGGUUGUAAACCUCUUUUGAUGGGGAAGAAUUCUGACGGUACCCAUCGAAUCAGCAUCGGCUAACUCCGUGCCAGCAGCCGCGGUAAUACGGAGGAUGCAAGCGUUAUCCGGAAUUAUUGGGCGUAAAGCGUCCGCAGGUGGCUUUUCAAGUCGGCUGUCAAAGCAUGGAGCUUAACUCCAUAGAGGCGGUGGAAACUGAAAGGCUAGAGGCCGGUAGGGGUAGUGGGAAUUCCCAGUGUAGCGGUGAAAUGCGUAGAGAUUGGGAAGAACAUCGGCGGCGAAAGCGCACUACUGGGCAGGACCUGACACUGAGGGACGAAAGCUAGGGGAGCGAAAGGGAUUAGAUACCCCUGUAGUCCUAGCCGUAAACGAUGGAGACUAGGCGUAGCUUGUAUCGACCCGAGCUGUGCCGAAGCUAACGCGUUAAGUCUCCCGCCUGGGGAGUACGCACGCAAGUGUGAAACUCAAAGGAAUUGACAGGGGCCCGCACAAGCGGUGGAGUAUGUGGUUUAAUUCGAUGCAACGCGAAGAACCUUACCAGGGCUUGACAUCUGUAGAACCCGAGUGAAAGCUUGGGGUGCCUUCGGGAGCUACAAGACAGGUGGUGCAUGGCUGUCGUCAGCUCGUGUCGUGAGAUGUUGGGUUAAGUCCCGCAACGAGCGCAACCCUCGUUCUUAGUUGCCAGCAUUAAGUUGGGCACUCUAGGGAGACUGCCGGUGACAAACCGGAGGAAGGUGGGGAUGACGUCAAGUCAGCAUGCCCCUUACGUCCUGGGCAACACACGUACUACAAUGGUCGAGACAGAGGGCGGCGACCUCGCAAGAGCAAGCGAAUCUCAUCAAACUCGGCCUCAGUUCAGAUUGCAGGCUGCAACUCGCCUGCAUGAAGGAGGAAUCGCUAGUAAUCGCCGGUCAGCAUACGGCGGUGAAUUCGUUCCCGGGCCUUGUACACACCGCCCGUCACACCAUGGGAGCUGGCCACGCCCGAAGUCGUUACCCUAACCCCGAAAGGGGAGGGGGAUGCCGAAGGCAGGGCUAGUGACUGGGGUGAAGUCGUAACAAGGUAGCCGUACCGGAAGGUGUGGCUGGAUCACCUCCUUU
rnacentral:rRNA from 1 species